rnacentral:rRNA from 1 species
GACCUGGCCGGGCGGUCCGCCUCACGGUGUGUACUGUCUGGCUGGGUUCUACCUCUUGGUGAGCCGGCAUGCCCUUCACUGGGUGUGUCGAGGAACCAGGACUGUUACCUUGAGAAAAUUAGAGUGUUUAAAGCAGGCAAACGCUUGAAUACAUUAGCAUGGAAUAAUGAAAUAGGACGUUCGAUCCUAUUUCGUUGGUUUCUAGGAUCAACGUA